GCAAGCCGAGCGGUAGAGAUCUUUCGGGAUCUUGAGAGCGGCGUACGGGUGCGGAACACGUGUGCAACCUGCCUUUAUCUGGGGGAUAGCCUUUCGAAAGGAAGAUUAAUACCCCAUAAUAUACUGAAUGGCAUCAUUCGGUAUUGAAAACUCCGGUGGAUAGAGAUGGGCACGCGCAAGAUUAGAUAGUUGGUGAGGUAACGGCUCACCAAGUCUACGAUCUUUAGGGGGCCUGAGAGGGUGAUCCCCCACACUGGUACUGAGACACGGACCAGACUCCUACGGGAGGCAGCAGUGAGGAAUAUUGGACAAUGGGUGAGAGCCUGAUCCAGCCAUCCCGCGUGAAGGACGACGGCCCUAUGGGUUGUAAACUUCUUUUGUAUAGGGAUAAACCUACCCUCGUGAGGGUAGCUGAAGGUACUAUACGAAUAAGCACCGGCUAACUCCGUGCCAGCAGCCGCGGUAAUACGGAGGGUGCAAGCGUUAUCCGGAUUUAUUGGGUUUAAAGGGUCCGUAGGCGGAUCUGUAAGUCAGUGGUGAAAUCUCACAGCUUAACUGUGAAACUGCCAUUGAUACUGCAGGUCUUGAGUGUUGUUGAAGUAGCUGGAAUAAGUAGUGUAGCGGUGAAAUGCAUAGAUAUUACUUAGAACACCAAUUGCGAAGGCAGGUUACUAAGCAACAACUGACGCUGAUGGACGAAAGCGUGGGGAGCGAACAGGAUUAGAUACCCUGGUAGUCCACGCCGUAAACGAUGCUAACUCGUUUUUGGAGCGUAAGCUUCAGAGACUAAGCGAAAGUGAUAAGUUAGCCACCUGGGGAGUACGAACGCAAGUUUGAAACUCAAAGGAAUUGACGGGGGCCCGCACAAGCGGUGGAUUAUGUGGUUUAAUUCGAUGAUACGCGAGGAACCUUACCAAGGCUUAAAUGGGAAAUGACAGGUUUAGAAAUAGACUUUUCUUCGGACAUUUUUCAAGGUGCUGCAUGGUUGUCGUCAGCUCGUGCCGUGAGGUGUUAGGUUAAGUCCUGCAACGAGCGCAACCCCUGUCACUAGUUGCCAUCAUUAAGUUGGGGACUCUAGUGAGACUGCCUACGCAAGUAGAGAGGAAGGUGGGGAUGACGUCAAAUCAUCACGGCCCUUACGCCUUGGGCCACACACGUAAUACAAUGGCCGGUACAGAGGGCAGCUACACUGCGAAGUGAUGCAAAUCUCGAAAGCCGGUCUCAGUUCGGAUUGGAGUCUGCAACUCGACUCUAUGAAGCUGGAAUCGCUAGUAAUCGCGCAUCAGCCAUGGCGCGGUGAAUACGUUCCCGGGCCUUGUACACACCGCCCGUCAAGCCAUGGAAGUCUGGGGUACCUGAAGUCGGUGACCGUAACAGGAGCUGCC
rnacentral:rRNA from 1 species